ensembl:lncRNA
AAGUGGGGUGUCUCUUCCAAAGCAGACCGGCCGGCGAACGAGGCCCGAUGAAGAAAGGUUCUGCAAAGGUUCUGCUGCGCGAAGGCGGCCCAUCCCCACUUCGGCCCGGGAUGUCCUCAUUGCCCUUGAUGCCUGGAGCUUCCAACUCGCCCCCACUAGGCCCUGGGGGUCCCUAGCCAAGGAGUGGGACAGAGUGAAGGCGCUGAACCGUUACUGCCGGUGGGUUUUGGGGCCCGCCCCGUUUUACCGUAGACAUUGCGGGGCUCUUCUCAGCCCGUUUGGGGGCCCGGGGAGGGGGGUGCGUGCACCCGGCGGGGUCCGUCUUGAGAACAGGGCGGCGUCUCUGAGCCCCCGAAAUGUGGGAGGACUUUGAGGGUCUGCACGAGGCUCUGAGAAGGAACUGGAAGUCCGACCUGCCCUCCCUGGAGAGGAGGAUUAAGUGUGUGAGAAAGGUCGGGAGAGAUGGGGAACUGUGGAAAGGGGCGAGGUACCCUGGGAAGGAAGACGAAAUCUGUGUUCGGACAGACCAGGAUUCUAAUCCUGAAUCUGACGGGACCUUCGGUUUUCUCACAGACCUCACCAGAUUGUUAGGGUUUGAAAAGAUCAUUCAUCCAACGAAUAUUAGAGAUCUACUAUGUGCCAGGCUCUGCUUGGCCCUGGGGAUUCAGUGAUAGACCAGACAGACACAGUGCCCUUCAGCGACUGUGUUGUUGCGGGGAAAACAGACAAUAAACAAGUAAACAAAUAAUAGACAAGACUGGCUGAGUUUGUAUCAUUACCAUUUGCUAUGAAGCAAAUGAAAUAGAGUGAUGGGGGAUGAGAGGCGGAGCUAAUUUAGUUUGGGCGGUCAGACAAGACCUCCAUGACAUGUAAGGAGAACAGGUGGUAUUCUAGGUGGAGGGAAUAGCUAGUACAAAAGCCCUGAGGAGGGAACAGUCUUGGUGAGUUCAGAAACAAAGGUCAGGGUGGCUGCAGCAAAGUGGGCCAUAGGAAGAGUGAUAGGAGGGGAAAUCAGCAGGGUGUAGGUCAUCUUAGGGCCCAGUUACCCAUGGUAAAGUGUUUAAAUUCUACUCAAGUGUAGUGGGGGCAUUUGAAGAGUUUUAAACAGAAAAGUGACAAGAUACAAUUUAUAUAUAUAUAUUUUUUUUUUUUUUUUUUUUUUUUUUUGCGGUAUGCGGGCCUCUCACUGCCGCAGCCUCUCCCGCCGCGGAGCACAGGCUCCGGACGCGCAGGCGCAGCGGCCACGGCUCACGAGCCCAGCCGCUCCGCGGCAUGUGGGAUCCUCCCGGACCGGGGCACGAACCCGCGUCCCCUGCAUCGGCAGGCGGACUCUCAACCACUGCGCCACCAGGGAAGCCCCAAUUUAUAUUUUUUAAAAGAUCACUCUUGCUACUGUGUAAAGAAUAAACUGUAGUAGGCAGGAGUCAAAGCAGGAAGGCUACAUUUAGGAGGAAAGGUUGGGACUAGGAUGGUAGGAGUGGAGGUGAUGAAUCUCAUGGGGCAGUCACAGAAGGUAUAAGUUCAAUAUGGAGGUCACUCCCUCCAUAUACAGACAAAGGACAAUAUCUACCAUAGAGAAAGAGCAAAUACAUUUAUUUGGUCCCAAGGGACCAGGCUGAGCUCAAUGAGUUCACAUAAAUUAUUUCAUUUGAACCCCACCCUUCCAAUCCUAGUUGGUGAAGGCGUCAUCUUAGCUGCAGAGCUAUUGGUGAGGGUUUGGGCCACUUCUCAGAUUUUUCUCUUCCACUCUACAGUACAACUUUACCUAUUUUCAGAUCUCUACACUUUUUCACCCAUGUUAAACAAAAACAACACUGGAAAUCAGAGCUGAAGGUGGGGUUCUACCAGUAGAGUCUCUGAAAUAACUGGUGGAAAAGAAGGGGAAGCUGGUUGUUCUCAUUCUGGGGCUUCAGGGUUGGAAAAAAUUCCAGUUCUUGACAGACUGAGCCAGGCUUUUUGGCCUCUGGGCACUUGGCGGUGACACAUUCGGAUGUGGGACCUGGGGGCUCCCUUCCAACUGAUUUCAUUCCUAGGCUCUACAGAGCAACUAGUCUCCUCCUAUUCUCUCCCCCUCUCUCCCUCUCUCUCCCUCUCCCUCCUUUCCUCCCUCUCCUUGCGGCCCUUUGCCCUGCAGCAUUCUUUUCACACCCAACUUUUCGAAGGUGAUCCAGACACAGGCCCCUUUCACACCCAGCUUUUGAAGGUGAUCCAGACACAGGCCCCUUCUUCCCUUUGGUUUCAUUUUCUGAAAGAGACCUGAUUCAUCCAGCUAUCCAUUGCUGAGUAAGAAACUUUCUUCUGGGACUUUCCUGGUGGUCCAGUGGUUAAGACUUCACCUUCCAAUGCAGAGGGUGUGCGUUUGAUCCCUGGUAGGGGAGCUUAGAUCCCACGUGCCUCUGGGCCAAAAAACCAAAACAUAAAACAGAAGCAGUAUUAUAACAAAUUCAAUAAAGACUUUAGAAACGGUCCACAUC